GCCUUACACAUGCAAGUCGAGCGGUAGCACAGAGAGCUUGCUCUCGGGUGACGAGCGGCGGACGGGUGAGUAAUGUCUGGGAAACUGCCUGAUGGAGGGGGAUAACUACUGGAAACGGUAGCUAAUACCGCAUAAUGUCGCAAGACCAAAGUGGGGGACCUUCGGGCCUCAUGCCAUCAGAUGUGCCCAGAUGGGAUUAGCUAGUAGGUGGGGUAACGGCUCACCUAGGCGACGAUCCCUAGCUGGUCUGAGAGGAUGACCAGCCACACUGGAACUGAGACACGGUCCAGACUCCUACGGGAGGCAGCAGUGGGGAAUAUUGCACAAUGGGCGCAAGCCUGAUGCAGCCAUGCCGCGUGUGUGAAGAAGGCCUUCGGGUUGUAAAGCACUUUCAGCGGGGAGGAAGGCGUUGAGGUUAAUAACCUUGUCGAUUGACGUUACCCGCAGAAGAAGCACCGGCUAACUCCGUGCCAGCAGCCGCGGUAAUACGGAGGGUGCAAGCGUUAAUCGGAAUUACUGGGCGUAAAGCGCACGCAGGCGGUCUGUCAAGUCGGAUGUGAAAUCCCCGGGCUCAACCUGGGAACUGCAUUCGAAACUGGCAGGCUAGAGUCUUGUAGAGGGGGGUAGAAUUCCAGGUGUAGCGGUGAAAUGCGUAGAGAUCUGGAGGAAUACCGGUGGCGAAGGCGGCCCCCUGGACAAAGACUGACGCUCAGGUGCGAAAGCGUGGGGAGCAAACAGGAUUAGAUACCCUGGUAGUCCACGCCGUAAACGAUGUCGAUUUGGAGGUUGUGCCCUUGAGGCGUGGCUUCCGGAGCUAACGCGUUAAAUCGACCGCCUGGGGAGUACGGCCGCAAGGUUAAAACUCAAAUGAAUUGACGGGGGCCCGCACAAGCGGUGGAGCAUGUGGUUUAAUUCGAUGCAACGCGAAAAACCUUACCUGGUCUUGACAUCCACAGAACUUUCCAGAGAUGGAUUUGGGUGCCUUCGGGAACUGUGA
rnacentral:rRNA from 1 species